rnacentral:rRNA from 1 species
GACGAACGCUGGCGGCGUGCCUAAUACAUGCAAGUCGAGCGAGACUCUUCGGAGUCUAGCGGCGGACGGGUGAGUAACACGUGGGCAACCUGCCUGUCAGACUGGGAUAACACCGGGAAACCGGUGCUAAUACCGGAUAAUCCUUUUUCUCUCAUGAGGAAAAGCUGAAAGUCGGUUUCGGCUGACACUUACAGAUGGGCCCGCGGCGCAUUAGCUAGUUGGUGAGGUAACGGCUCACCAAGGCGACGAUGCGUAGCCGACCUGAGAGGGUGAUCGGCCACACUGGGACUGAGACACGGCCCAGACUCCUACGGGAGGCAGCAGUAGGGAAUCUUCCACAAUGGACGAAAGUCUGAUGGAGCAACGCCGCGUGAGUGAUGAAGGCCUUCGGGUCGUAAAGCUCUGUUGUUAGGGAAGAACAAGUACCGGAGUAACUGCCGGUACCUUGACGGUACCUAACCAGAAAGCCACGGCUAACUACGUGCCAGCCGCCGCCGUAAGAC